rnacentral:rRNA from 1 species
UACGGAGGGUGCAAACGUUGCUCGGAAUCAUUGGGCGUAAAGCGCACGUAGGCGGACCGCUAAGUCGGAUGUGAAAGCCCUCGGCUUAACCGAGGAAGUGCAUUCGAAACUGACAGUCUUGAGUAUGGAAGAGGGUCGCGGAAUUCCCGGUGUAGAGGUGAAAUACGUAGAUAUUGGAAGGAACACCAGUGGCGCAAGCGGCUAUCUGGACGAGUAUUGACGCUGAGGCACGAAAGCGUGGGGGAUCAAACAGG